rnacentral:rRNA from 1 species
UACGUAGGGCGCAAGCGUUGUCCGGAUUCACUGGGUGUAAAGGGUGCGCAGGCGGGAGUGCAAGUCAGAGGUGAAAUCUCACGGCUCAACCGUGAAACUGCCUUUGAUACUGCAUUUCUUGAGUUAGGGAGAGGUUGAUGGAAUUCCAGGUGUAGCGGUGAAAUGCGUAGAUAUCUGGAAGAACACCGGUGGCGAAGGCGGCGA